CGAUGUGAGGGCGAUCUGGCUGCGACAUCUGUCACCCCAUUGAUCGCCAGGGUUGAUUCGGCUGAUCUGGCUGGCUAGGCAGGUGUCCCCUUCCUCCCUCACCUCUCCAUGUGCGUCCCUCCCGAAGCUGCGCGCUCGGUGGAAGAGGAUGACGUCCCAGGUAUAGAAGGAGUGUACCGAGGUCUCCAAUCUUUGGUCCCGGGUAUACGAUAGCUGCGCUCCCCUGCUAGAACCUCCAAACAAGCUCAAGAGGGUCACGAUUUACAAGUGGGUUGGCACUUGUACGUUUGGUACAAGAGAGAGAAAAAGAAAAACUUUGGGAAUCAUUUUGUAAGAACUUCAUUAUUAAGGACAUGGCAAAAAUACAAAAAUUAUUUCU
rnacentral:snRNA from 11 species